CGUCCCAAGACGCUUUGACUUGCUGACUCCUUCUCCGCCUUUAGCUGUCAGCACAGAUAUCAGUUCCUCUGCCAGGACUUCCCUGGUUCCCAAUUUGAAGCACAUCUAAUUCCUAAUCUCUCGAGGUGAAGAAACUAAGACCUAGAGAAAUUAUGUUCCCAGUGGCACACAGCUAUAAAGUUACAAAGCUGCAGUUUGAUCCCAACUCAUCUUGUUUCUGAGUCUGGGCACUGAAGCCCCCCUAUAUCUAGCACUUGCUCUGCUCUUGAGCUAGAGGUGUGGGUCCAGUACGUGAUAACACUUUCUGCCAAAGAUCACUGAAAAUAUAACGAGCCACCUCAGAUCAGGUGGAAUUCACUGCCCACGGAGAUGUUCACAGAGAGGUUGGAGGACUUCUUGUAAGGAAGUUUCAUGAAAGGCACAAAUACAAAAGACAUCAAACCCAACUGUAAAGUCCUUUCCAAAUGGGAGAUUGUAACAGGAUAUGAGAGUCUGUUCUGGAUGGGAAGAUAACGUGAGCAAAGGCUCUGAAUAUUUUCAGGGAGUAGACCCGCCUGGCUGGUAUGAAAAAUUCAUGGAGAAAAGUACUUUCAAGCAAUGCUGCAAAGAUUCACUGCAUUGAUUGUGGAAGUCCUUCAAUGUCAGCAAAACAGGAGUUUGGUCUUAAUCCUUUGGGGAACCCUGAAAAGUCGCUCCUCGGGAAAGUGAUAAAGUUUUUGUUGGUUUUGUUUGGGGGGGGAUUGUUUGUUUUUCUGGAGGGAUUUAUACAAAGGAUUUGAAGGAAAUUAAUCAGAUGAAAAUAUUUGUCUACCCAAGGACGACCUAGUCAAGUCUCGUUUACAUCUUCUCUUCCUCCCUGUCCCACCAGGUGGCGCCAGAACUCAAAAUCAGGACUCUCUAAAAGGUUGCCUCACUGUUCUGAUCCUUUAUUGUAGGAUAACUCCUAUAAAGACAUCUGUGAUGUGAGCAUAUCAAAAAAUAUUUUUAUUGCCAAUUCCUAAUAUGCCUUUUCAUUCACCCUGGGGUACUUUUCCAGUAGUUAAUUUUCAGCUUAACCGAAUGUAACGUUCUGAAGAAGAGCUUCUGGGGACCAUGCCAGUUCAGAGAAUGUUUGUAGACCAACAUAAUAAACAAGACAUCCUGCAAGAAAAUGCUAAUGACCAGCUGGAAGUUGAUACGGUGGAAUUUAUUCGACCCCUGAUGACUUCAAUAUGGGGGAGCUGUUCUAGUUCACAGGACAAGGAGGAUUUUUAGCUGGCCGGUUAAAUUACCUCCUUGACACUUUAGUUAGAACGUGGAAGGGGGUGAAAGCCUGAGCCAACUUAUGACCUAAUUCUUCAGAAAAGAAAUGCGAGAGUCCAGCACUUUGCCCCCUGCUUCCUCUCUGACUGCCUUUUCACGAUAUAAACUAGUUUACACUGCAGAGGGCUCGCUCCCUCACAAAUUUCUUAAUUGGAACUUGUUUCCUUAAUGUCACAGUCCUGGCUAUGUUUUGUUUUUUUAAAAGAAUGGAGGGAUGGUAGGAGCUGGCUCUUCAAUACCUUAUUUAUACCUGGAUUCCCUCAUGUUUCCACACUUCUGCAGUCCGACUUCUACAGUUAUCAUUUAUCACAGGCAGUGACUCAUACCUUGUAGGGGCAAAAUAAAUAUUUGCAGAAUAAAUCCUCAGAGUUGCUACCCAAAAUGGGAAAUGUUGAAAACAAAGCAGCAAUCACAGAAAAUAAAGUAACUGC